rnacentral:rRNA from 1 species
UACGUAGGGGGCAAGCGUUGUCCGGAAUCAUUGGGCGUAAAGCGCGUGUAGGCGGUUACGUAAGUCUGCUGUGAAAGUCGGAGGCUCAACCUUCGAAAGCCGGUGGAUACUGCGUGACUUGAGUACGGAAGAGGAGAGUGGAAUUCCUGGUGUAGCGGUGAAAUGCGCAGAUAUCAGGAGGAACACCAACGGCGAAGGCAGCUCUCUGGGACGGUACUGACGCUGAGACGCGAAAGCGUGGGGAGCGAACAGG